rnacentral:rRNA from 1 species
AGAGCGAACGCUGGCGGCAGGCCUAACACAUGCAAGUCGAGCGGCCGUAGCAAUACGGCAGCGGCAGACGGGAGAGUAACACGUGGGAACGCGCCCUUCGGUUCGGAAUAACUCAGGGAAACUUGGGCUAAUACCGGAUACGCCCUUACGGGGAAAGAUUUAUUGCCGAAGGAACGGCCCGCGUCCGAUUAGCUUGUUGGUGAGGUAACGGCUCACCAAGGCGACGAUCGGUAGCUGGUCUGAGAGGAUGACCAGCCUCACUGGGACUGAGACACGGCCCAGACUCCUACGGGAGGCAGCAGUGGGGAAUAUUGGACAAUGGGCGCAAGCCUGAUCCAGCCAUGCCGCGUGGGUGAUGAAGGCCCUAGGGUUGUAAAGCCCUUUCGGCGGGAAGAUAAUGACGGUACCCGCAGAAGAAGCCCCGGCUAACUUCGUGCCAGCAGCCGC